UCUGUGAGAUGACUCCCCACAGAGACAGAGGCAACACUUUGGUCACCUUUGGUCACACUGAGCAGUGCUUGACCCUACAUGGAUUUACCUGGAAAUAGGAAUCUACCCAACAGGGUACGUGUUUAUGUUGUCAGACAAGGAAUAUCCAGGAAUAGCUGUCCAUUUUCAGAGCAAUUUUCAAGGCUUGAUACAUCCUGUGGAAUCUGUCUGGCCCAUCACUCAGAUUGUGGACAAGGAAGUGGCGUUGCAGAAGUCAAGUAUAUCAGUUUAGUUCUUGUCUGUCUCAGUCCCUCUGGUGAAGCAUCAAGUGUGUGGGAGCACUUGGUCCAGAGCAAGGAGGUUCUUUACAGAAGAAUCAGUCUGAUGAGCACUGGUUUUCAUGUGCUUGCUUGUUUGCAUGCUUUGUGUUUUUCCAUUGGACCAACCAAUGGACUUGCAUGACUAGAAAUUCAGGCAAGCAAAUUCCAUAAGCAGCUUGACACCUACACAAGACUAAGAAGGCAAAGGCUACAGAGCAGAAGGCUCUUAAAGGCAAAGGCUUCUUAAAUGAAAUAUUGACGGUCCUCACCUCUUGUCUUCAGUUGUCAGUGACCCAGGGUUAGCAAGAGAAGUUGGUACAGCCAUUCCAUUCUCAUCUCCAGAGUAACCCAGCACAGGCUAGUUUUUUUGCACCACGUUCUGUACCAUUUCAUCAGCUGCAUCUCUUGGGCAGAGAAAGAAUACGUUCUUGUACCCCCUAUAAUAUGUCUUCAAGCAGCAGAAAGGUUCAUAUAUCCCAUAUGGAGCUUCGUGGCUUCAGGCCCACUCCUUUUUGGAAGGGAAGAUGGGUGAUUAAGUGGCACCUACCCCAGGUCUGGAUGUUCUCAU